rnacentral:snoRNA from 1 species
AUCCCGUGGUGUGGACACUUUCGUAAUAUAUUCUUGAACCGAUUCCAGGCUUCAUCGGAAUUUUUCAAUUCGCCUUGGCGAAAAACAAAGAUGUCGUGCUUAAGCUU